AUUAAUUAAAUUGGUAAUGUUGUAAUUGUCCGUAGAGGUGAUUCUCUUGUGGUCAUUUCUUGUGACUGUGUGUCGAUUCUCGAUGACGAACCCUUCAAAAUUUAUACACGAGUAGUAAUUGUUUUUAUAGAGAGCUCACCAUGAAUUGUACUACCACUGUGCUGCUGGUAUGAAAUGAUGAUUAUUUGUAUAGUUUCAGUGUAUAAAAUGUAUAUCCCUUUCUUAUUCUUUCCCACUUUUAUUCAUAUACUUGGAAAUAUAAUCGAAAUGUAGAAUACAUUUUGUGGUAUUUGCAAGUGAAGUUCUUUCUGUGUUACAAAGAAGUUCUUUUUAUGCUUAUGUUAAAAUAUGACAAUGGACUCUUACUGCUUUUUGUUUUAUGUUCCUUGUUUGAAUUUACAAUCUUCUUGGGUAAAACCUUCUCUUGUUAAGGAAAGUGGCGAUUCUCUCUCGAACACAUACUGAUACACACACAUAAACACACUUGUUAUCCAUGUCCAAGCAUUCGAAAUUAAUGGUCAGAGCUAAAAGUGUUUAUGUGCUCUAAUUCCUAUGUUUAGAACUUAGAAGGUAUGUGCAGUUUGAAGUACUACUUGUUAUCCAUUAUGAGUUUGAAAGUGAGGAAUAAUGUUGUAACUGAGGUUACCAAUCAAUAGAUUGUAAAGCUGAUUCCAUCUUUUGCCUUGUUUGCACUAUAAGAGGUCUUCGAGGACAAUCAACUUGUAAUCUUGCAGUAGUGUGUCUUCUUCAGUUACGGAGAAAGCCCUUUGAGCAGACUGCAUAUAAUAGGUUUGUAAUCUGUGGCAAUACCAGUAGUACUCCAUAAUUUUUGAAUUGAUCGGUACAGAACACUCUUAUGAAGUAACUGUGUCAUGGUGGGGAUUAUCUGAGAACCUUAAGCAUUGAUCUAA